UUUAACAAGGACCAAUAAUAUUGAAAUUGCCAAGCGAUGGAAAACUCAUAUAUUAAGCAAUAGGAAUCACGUGCAAUUCUAUUACUAAUUUCCUGAAAAGUCAACACCCUUGCACUAUGUGAUGGUAUUUUACGAACACUAUGUGUCGUAAUAAUUUCGAAACAAGUUAACUCUAUAAAAAUCAUGUUGGAGGUAGCAAUCAAGUAUUUCUGCGAAUUUGCUACUGGAUUGAUGGAGGCGCAAUUUUUUAUAACCUGACGCUUUCUGCCUUGAUCAUAGCAACUGUUUUAUUUUACCAUUUCAAGUGUCAAACUGGUUUUCAUCAGUGUUAUAUUAUAGGUAUAUUUUUAAAUAGAAUUGACUCAUUGAACAAAAAAUAUUAUAUCCUUGUUAGAACAAGCAGUGACAUCAGUGUAAGUGUUAACCGAAUGACAAAUAACAUACAUAAAAGCAAUAUCUUUACGUCUUUUCACUCUCUUUUAGACCGUUCAUGUUCAAUAUUCAUAAACAUAAUGUGGGCUAUUCGAGUUCUAUGUCAAUCUCAUCACCCAAAAGUAGAAACUCUGUCCACAUCCGAGUCGAUAAGCGAGAAUUAGUUCAAUUACCGAAAGCACAAUCUGAUAACAACCGGAUCGGCCACUGUACGCAUUAUCAGUCACUAUUUACGUAAUCAAUUACAAUGGAUCUUCAGAUAUUUAUUACAUUUUGGGCGUGAACAAUGUUUCAUUCAAAUACUCGACAAUAGACAUAUUAUUGUAUUGAGCGAAAGCUCAUUACGUAACGUAAACUGCUCUAAAAUAAUUAAUAGACUAACCUAAUGGCUUACAUCAUUCUUUGAACGUCGCCGAGACAAUGCACUGUAAUGAGCGCCCGAAAUCUUUAAUUAAAUAAAAAUAUAAUUAAACGGACACCACUCUUGUUAUGCGAGCUUUAUUUUAUAAUUAGAAUAAUAUUAUGUACAUAUUUACUUGAACAUUUCAAAUUGACUAUUUACAAGUUAUGAGUCAUAUACAUAGAGCGCUAUAAAUACUUAGUGACACCGUGAUGAGACGUAAAAGGCUGAUCACCUACUUGCCUAUAAAAAAUAGUUGGUGACAAAUACAUAAAUCUAAAGCCAAGGGUGGUAGCGCCAUUUUUAUAUGUUCGGUAGGCUGGUUGAUCAGCGAUUCCCAAUUAAAACCGUCAAUGGCGAAUAGCAGGCUUAACGAAACGAAUCGAAUAUGUGGAACACAACUGUUUCAAAUACUUUUUUAUAAUAAGUGCUUAACAUAAAAAGUUAUGAUUUGUAAGCCAUUACAGGGGAAUGCAGCGCACGCGACCAAUAAUUGAGAUGUUUGUGAUGCGGUCUGAUUUAAGAUUAGAUCCACUUGAUUGUUCUAACUCAUCGCGUGCCCUCGUGAGAUGAGAAAACUAAUUGUUGUUGGUUAAUCUAUUUAAUUUAUUUAUUGGUUAAGCAACUUAAACGCGAUGGCGAUUUAUGUUAUUCAAAUCUCAAAAUGUGUCCUUUAUAAAAAAUAGAACCGACACGACCCAUGUCCUUUUUUAUUUCGUGAAACCUAUACCAUAGUGCAACAGUACCAAUCUACUUAAUUUAAUUUAUGUAUAAUAACGUAUAUUUAUUUAAUGUUUGAGUCGACAAAGGGUUUUUUUUUGUAAUAUUACAAAAUAUUGUCAAUAUCGCUAGAACACAUGCCUUUAUAUUACUCUAUACCCAAUCAAUUAUAAAUUCAUAAAUCAUGGUUUACGUAUAUCGUGUAUACGUGACGUUCGUCUUCCAAUCUUCGCGUUGCCCUGAGAAAUUAGUGCACUUUGACGUAUUUAAUGGACCAUUUGGGUCGAUAAAGAUUGACUUCAGUAGCAAGUCAGUGUUUAGGGUUUUUCAAGAGACAUUAUAUUUAAUGACCUGAGAACAGUGACUCUCAUCCCUGAGUUCCAUUCACGGCUUUGCACCAAUAGACAUUUCACUAUGUGCGCAUCUAACACUCGCUCGUCCGGUGAAGGAAACAGGCAAGUCUCAAAUGCAAAAAUCGACGACUACUUGUCUAUGGAAGAGAGGUUAAUAAUUAUAAAGGGUAGUAGCGCCACUGGAUUGUCACUAUAAUUAUCAAAUAGGUCCUCAUUCACUACAAUUCCUCGGUCAACCAGAUCGUUCUCCAGACGGAGGAAUAGCUCGAACAUGCUCAAAACAAAUUAUAAUUAUAAAAUUACAAAUUGUCUGUGUAUUUUCUCAAUUCCUAUAUUAAAAAGAAACUAUGUAUCCAUUUGUCAUUUUUUAAAUGUAUAAUCAGCAAUGGAAUUCGUGAAGCACGAAGUAGGUAAUCCCAAGCUUAAUCGUGUUAACGUAAUGCAGGCUAGAUUUAAGUUUAUCUAAUUAAAUUCACAUUGUUUAUACGAAAGACAUGAUUUAAUUUCAAUUACAAUAUAACUAUUCGGUAUCUUAAAACUUUUGUACUUUUUUUAGGUUUACCUCUAAAGUAAGCAUGACAAAGAGAAAAGUAGGCGUUUGUAAAAUAAAUUAUGGAUUUUAUUUCCAUUUGCAAGUUUCAGGUUUAUGUCUUGAAACUGCAAAGAACAACGAUGUAGUAAGAAAUGAAUUUGUUAUCAAAUGUUUAAUAAAUCUGAGAGCAACAAAUAAUUAAGUACCUCUCUAACAUUUAUAUACGGAUGAUUACUGUGCUCACUGACAAAUAAUUGCAAUUUGUAAUUCUAGUAAACCAACACACAUAAUGAUUUCUUUAAACGACACAUUUCAUUCUAAUUUAAUUUCAAUGUUCGUUAUGGAAGAUGUUAUUUUAUGUUUAUUAGAGUUAUAAUGAAACAACGAGGAAGUAAAUCUCAAAAGACGGGGCUCGAUCUAAGCUAAAAAGGCAUGUCCAAACUGUCUCUCGACAUUAUAAGAUAAAGUUCUUGUCGAUUCGAUUGCAAGUAAUGUGGCACAGCUGAAAACGGUGGUAAAAAAUAAUUAUUUUAUAUUUAAACAAAUAGCAAUAAUACAGAUAGUCGCCGCAUCUUUGUUAAUUACCAUAUAUCCUUAGUAUUUAUGAAAGUGCAUCAUAAAAUUCAGUUCAAAACACCAUUAACAGCUUCCUAUAGCGUUAUGAAACUGUGAUAGUGCUGGCGGCUUCGUGUGGGCGAAUGCAAAUGGUAAUCAAGGAACUCGGAAUUGAAUCGAUUAGUUUAUCUCAUGAAUAGCUCUAAUGUAAUUCAUGCUAUUACGUAAGCCAUCGACUAUUCCCUUCGACAGUUGAGAGACUACAAUGGCUUAAUACAAUAUAUGUCCGUAAAUAUUAAUUCAAGGGAUGGCGCAAGCGCAGCGAAUGGGAAAAGUUUUUUAGUUAGCAUAUUACUCACUUCUGCUAUCGAAGAAAACUUUUAGGAAAGUUCUUUUUAGUUUUAGUGACAACUAACGACUGUAACGUCGACACAGCAAUCGUAAUAAAUAAUACCUCCAAGCUUUGGAGGUAAUUUCUUAGGAGCUUAGAUAAUGACAUAAGAUAGACAUACGCCUUCCACUAUGUUGUAUGUACGUGAGAAACUCUCUCCUAAUCCCCGAGUCUGCAUUGAUUGUGAGUUUUAGUGGAACAAUUAAUAAACAAGAUAGUAUUAUAACGUGUUACCUAAUAGAUCUCACGCUACAUAAGAUAACAAUACAGCGUUAAUGAACUGAUCUUAGGAGUAACACCCACUUAAUAGAAAUCCAGCAGCCUGUGUAUAUGAUAAUAUUAUACAAAGAUAUGUGUGAUAAUGUGUAAUAAAGUAUACAGAAAUUAAACUUAAAAAAGGAAAAUGUUUUACAAAACCCGUUCAGGUUUCCGAAACAAAUAGAAGUGAUAAUAAAUGUAAUUAGGUUUCGAGAUUUCAUUGCACUUUGUUAACUUUCCCCAACAAAUCUCGGAUCCGUGAGACCUAAAACGUGAAACCUUUAAGGAAUAUUAAAACGAAUCAACUUGUCCGAUUCUAAUCUGAUAGAACUAAUGAUCUGCUCUAUGAGUUAUGCUAUAGGUAUUCAGAAGAGGUUAGAAACGUAUCACUUUAGGGCCCAUGGCGUUUCACUACGGGUUUUAAGGUAAAAAUAGUAAAAGCAAUGUAAGUGUAUCUUUAGAACAGUACAUAACAGUGUAUAAUAUGUUAUCUAGGUCACACUUGGCUCACAAAAAGUGCCGUAGACCUUGCGAGGUUCAUACUUAUACUUAAUAGUCCGCACACGGUGAAAAGAAUUGGGGCUUAGGACAUAAGAAAGACGUCGUGUUCGUAACCGGCUCUCAUACAUUACAAGAAGAGGCCAUUGAAUCGUUAAUUUACCGUGAAAGCAUCAUUAAAAGUUAAGUCAGGCUAACACGAUCCUAACGAAGCCAAUCAAUUUUACUAUCCGCAGUUUCAAAUGUAAUAUGUACUAACAAAUACACAUAAACACAUAAUUAAUUGAUUGUGUAUUACGUAUGCAAAAUAUAAAAUACUCUGCAUCAGUAUCGAUUUCAGGCAUAUCUUAUUUCGAGAGCGUUUUUGCUUAUUAUUUAGGCAACGUAGACUUUCGACAAGUCUAAAGCUUAAUAAAUCAUGCAACAAGCUGCAGUUAAUCAUUAUUAGUAACAAGAAAUCGAAUUAAAAAAGAUAUAGUUUACAACAAAAGUUUGUUCAACUUUCAAGAGUGGAAUGGAUUAUUCAGGUAAAUAAUUUUUACUUACUUAAAUCUAAUCAACAAUUAAAAAAAAAGGAUUUUAGAAAUUCAACGAAAACUGGAAAUGCAAAAAGAAAAACAUUAGUCGAAAUGUGGUAUUUAUAUGAUGAUAGAAUAGGGCUUUAGUUAGUUUCCUAAAUACUCCUCAAUAGUAAAGUCAACUGACUCCAGUAGACGUGUAUUUUGAAAGGUACGAGCACCUUGUUUGGAGAAGGGAGUGUACUGAGGUUUAACUGGUCAUAUGACUCGGUUGAUAUUCAGUUUAUAUCAUAAAUUGCAGUCACAAGUUUCUCGAUUUCAUUUAUUAAAUCUAGUUUGUAACAUACCAACCCUGACUGGGCGUAAUGCAACUACAAAGGCGUGUACUACAACUUUCAUCGCCUUUUUUGGUUUGCCAAAGGCCUUUAUCUUUAUCAAAUAUUUUUUGUGAAUGCAAUUACGACAUCCUUUGUAGAAAACAUUUCAUGAUAUCUACUACAACUAUAAAGUUUUAAAACGGCAGAGGCAGCAGCCUGUCUGCAUCAAGUAGAAGCUGCUCGACCAGAAGUAGAAGAGCGACAGAUAGAUGAGAGUCAUAACACAGGGACGGCAAUAUUCCGUUUUUAUUACGUUGCAUUUACGAUGUUGAUAAUAUGAAGGGAGACAUUUCCUCACGAGUUUAUAAUCGCGACGACAAUCUCCUUUUUUUUUGCGCACAACCGACCAUUGGCUUAUGUAACGUAUAAGGGAAAUUUCCAAAAAUAAAGCUUGUCAAUCAGGUGUAACGCAAUAUUAAGAUAUUGCAAUAGGUUCGAAUUACUUGCCAAUUUUUUUUCACGCUCCGUUACAAUGUUUGGUUUAUCUUUCAUCACUGAAAUAGAUACCUCUUACGCCAAGUUAGGAAAUAGAUGUAAAGCUCGCUUCUGUAAUUGUGUUAUAAAAUAUUAAAUAAUACUUGUACACGCUUUUAAAUAUAUUUUCGGUGUUAAAAUGUACUUAACAAAUCAUACGUGUAUAAAUUAGACUUGAAUUUAUUAAAUAAUCGCACUUAAUAUCAGAUCCGCUGCGUCUCGUUUUGCUUCCGAUCGGCAACAGAUCAUAAAUAGUCGUUAGGGAAAUGGUUUGUGCAAUUCACUUGGCACUUACUUAUUCUGUACUUUGUCCGUUCAUGUAAUUAUUGAUGUCAAGAUAUGAAUUAUCGGGAUGGCGUCGUGAAAUCUAGUUUUCGAUGAGCUGGCCGCUGCGUAACCGCACUUUGAGGUAAUGAUUUGCAAAAAAUAUUUAAUAUUAGCUAACACUUGCCAUAAUUUUUAGCAUUACGAACCUAAUUAAUUAACUUGGCUCUCAUUAUAUUUCCGAAAAAUCGCAAAUACAUAAUCUGCGUAGUUAUCAAAUCUAUUUGUAUGUCAUAUUUCGUUGAUAUAUUUUUUGCGUAAACACUUUCAAAUAUAAAAUUCGUUUUGGUAGUUAGUAAAUGGUAACUUUUCAACAAUAACAGCAUUAUCUAAGCAAAUAAAAUUUAUCUUAUGCAACGCGUAAGCCGAUUCAAACAUCGAGCUUUUAACUAAUAAGUUUCACCGUUUAAGAUGAUUGCUUAAUUCUUGUUUUAUUGCGGUUAUGUCACUUCCCGCCCUUAUAACUUUAAAACUGCUCUGUUUUUAUUCAGUUGAAAGCACUUAAUUAUCUCAAUUACCAAUAUUACCGAAUACUUUCAAAGCUAAAGUGACAGCCUUAUGAUUUUAAUAAAAAAAUUGCUUCACUUGCAUCAAAUAUAAGUUGGAGCCAGAUAAAUAUCCGUAAAAUAUAUUACAAGAUCAUAUUUGACUCUCGUGUUAUGUGCACGUACUUAUUGCAUCAAUUAAAAGUCAAUUCAAAAUACUUACAACAAAUGCAGAUGAAAAUCUGUUCAAUUAGAUAUUUAUACUUGCUUCGAAGAAUUUGUUAACUUAUAAACCAAGACGGUUGAUAAAAAAUCCUAGUUUUAAGUUUCGACUCAUUUCCGUUUAUAGUUUAUAAACCUUGUAUAAUGUACUUAAAUAGUAUAAUUAAUCAAAACACUUCCUCUAACUUCGGCUAACGGUCGCCUGUCAAUAUUUAGGCAAUACCAACUCGGCAUUAUGUCAUCGUUACAUAUUUAAUACCAAACAAAUCGUCGCAAUAUUGAAAGCUUCCGUGUCCGUCUAUGUGAACACGGUUUACAUUUAAUGUCGUGUGAAUUCGUGACUUUUCUGAUCAGCCUACACUUCCUCUGCAAUGGGAUACUUUAAAAAAAUCAGAACAACAAGUUACAAUUACAGAUUGGCACACGCCGAAUAAUAUGAUAUUAUAUAUUGGCAAAUUAAAGAAAACUUUUAAGAAUAGUACCGUAUCUGCGUCUUCAAUCCUCUAUGUCAUUGUUAAACGUGUUUAAGGUGCCCUUUCUUCGACAAUUUGUCUCGGCACCGAUCGCUCGGAGUCACGAGAAUGUAAGCGAGGUUAAGCAUUACAAUCGAUAAAUUCUGACCAUGAUUUGUAAAUAUUUUCUCCACCGACGCGCCCACGAUUCUUGAUUAAAUCUAUAUCAAGAUAUCUAACAAAUGUCGCUAAUAACAGCUCUAUAACUACACAUUGCAAAGCAAUGUAUCUGUAAAUAUUUUGAUCUCAUUUAUAACUUCUGACACCCGAAGUAGACUUUUUGUUAGUGAUUCGUAGGGAAUCGAAAUGAUGGUACUAAAAUGAAUUGUUAUGAAGAAUGACCGACCCUCAUAAAACAAAAGAUGCAUCAUCCUCGUUCAAUUGUAGUUUGAAGUGCAGGUCAUAAAAUGUAUUGGCUCUAAGAUAAAAUUUCGCAAUCGCGAGUAAAGUAAUAAGUUCAGAUAACGAGAGCUAACCUUUAAAGGCCGUGAAUGUUGUUGUAUAAUGAUAAUGUAGAACAUUGCAGCUCGAUAAAACGUGAGAAUAAUUCAUUUAUUGUUGAAUUUGUAUUCUAUAGCAAAUCAGUAUUGUUCUGCUCUUAAAAAACAAACAUAAUUAAUUUUGUGCUAUACAUUCAAUGAUGAUAUAGAGAUGUAAUAUCCUUAACAUCUUGUAAUUUAAAUUUGAUUUGAAACACGAAAUGUUUGUUUGCUUAAAAGUUUGCGCGAGAAAGAUAAUUAAUAAAAACAGGCUUCAUAGGAAGAGCUUUAUCCACGUGCCAUGUGCCCGGCAACAUCUGCCUCGCAAUGUGGCACUGCCCAACCAUGAAUACAUAAGGGCCUUCAUCCAAUAUUCUAAGGAGGCAAAUUAGUCGCUUUUAUAUUUUUGCUCAUGACAUUAUCAAAGACCGAAGCAGCUGCAAGAGUUCAGCGUUCGUACGGGGACGUUAUAAUAUGUGGGAGCGACGGUUACGCUUACCGCAACAAGUGCGACUUUGAUAUCAAGAAAUCUGCUUCAGUUGGUCUAACAAUGGCUCUCUCGGGCCCUCGUGCUCGAAAUGUAUAUUUUACUAAACCUUUUAUUAAAGUAGUUAAAGCUAUUCAAGAAGACGGAGUCAAUAAAAAAGGGUUACGAAAGCAAUCGUCAAAAGAUCGUCAAAAUCGUCAAAAAUCGAAAAUCCGCCAGCUCUCAAAAAUUAUCUUAUCCAAAAUAAUAAACGCACAAAGCAAUAUAGGAGUUAACAUUCAAAACAAUGCAGUAAAUACUCAAGGAUGCCGGAAUAAUUUUCAAAUAGACAUCGGUGGAUAACCAGAUCCGUACAAUAAACGUAUUAGUAGCAUCUCCAUUGAGUUCCCGAAAGUCUCCUUAAAUCGAAAUGCCGAAACAAAUAUAAAGAGCCGUACCCUUAUAUUAUGUAAAUUUAAAUCAAUUAAUAAAGGAGAUGUCGUUUCUAUUAGGCACCUUGGUUUUAUUGAAAUUUUCAAGUUUGUAAGCUAUUCUUCUCAAUAAGGUUGUCACAAUAUCGCAAAUUUAUUGAACUGAAAAACUAUUAAGUUUUGUGAAAAACGCAAUUUACCUACGCCUAGUGAGAUUGUUGCUGUUCUAUAUGUCUGCAAAAAAAUAUUAGAAAGAAGAAGAAUAUAGGCUAUUAAUUUUUUUUAAACAGACAACAUACACGCACACAACAUCAAAACUUUUGGAUAAAGUAAUAUGUAGCGAGUUAAUUAAAGACUAUUUACAAAAUUAUUCUUAUUUAAUUACGUUAAGAAUGAUGUGCAUAUACUAUUUCUUAUCAUAGUACUUUGCUUUAGGCAUUAAAACGAAUAUCUCAGCUGUCGCAAAAGUUAUGAUAUAUUAUGAGAAUUAUAUAUAUAUUAUAUAUAUAUGUAGUAAGUUAUGGAGAUUUAGGUUAUUGAAAAAUUGACCACCAAUUGUUAUUGUGCACGCCAGCAUUUUUAGGAAUAUUUUAUCGAAACUAGUAAUAAUUGAUUGAUUUCGAGGUGUGUGAGUGAAGUUUAAUUGAGAAUUAAUUAUUUAAAGGUCAAUCAGGCCAGACGCCGUCAUUGUGACGUGAAAAGAAGAAAUGCUAACACGGUUCGCACUUUGUUGCCUAGUUUUUCUUCCGUAUAGGGGAUAUGGCACGGAUAUUCGUUGUUCAUACGGAGAAACAGUUCUAUGCGGCAGCGACGGUUCCACAUACUACGACCUGUGCGCCUUCCACACCAUGGAAGCGGUAAAUCCAUACCUGGUCGUGGCUCACCAGGGCCCGUGCGACCACCGCCAUGUCUUCAACCAACGACUUCGCGGGCAGAUUCCGAAUUUUCUAAGAAUGGGAAAAUUAUCGAAGAUGUUACUAGCGAAAAUUAUAAACUCGCAAACAUACAUGGGUGGAUUUAACUUCGAAAAUAAUGCGAUAAAUACACAAGGAAACCAUAACAGGUUUGGUAUAAAUGUGGGUUAGAAUAACUUAAUAAAAAAACAAUUUCGUUUAAUUCUUUGUUUUAUUAAAUAACACUUCGAUCCUUUCCAUUAUGAUAUUCCCGAUGAAACAGAGCCAUAUGCUCAUAUUCAUAAUUCUACGUUUCUUUUUGCUUAGUAAUAAAUACUAGUAAAGCUACACAAAAGUUACUUCUUUGCUGUAUGUACAUAAUAUAUUUGUAAUAACGAAAAAAUGUUUAUUACUUAAUAACCGUUCUAAUACUCAUAAAAUAUAGUAAUAUCCUCCGGAUAAUUUCAUCAUACAUCGAUCGACUCUUUCUAUCAAUUACUCCAUUAGUUUUAUACGUUACACCCGAUUACGAAAUUAUGUCCUGUAAUUGAAAAUUAACGCUUUGUUAAAAAGUUUAAUCGUAAAAUACGAUUACUAACGUGUGUUUUAUAAUUCAGAAUCUAUAGUUUAUUUGAACGAGAAGCCAUGUCAUCGAAUUAUUCGGGAAGUAUUUUUAUUAGAAUUUAUUUUAUUAAUGUUUUAGUAACGUUAUUUUGUAAGAGCAACGUCUCAGCGGUAAAAUGCCCACUCGGGGAGAUGGUCGUUUGCGGAAGUGACGGCUUCACCUAUAACAGUCUUUGUGAUUUGGAAAUCGUGCGAACUGUCCGACCCAACCUUGAGUUGCAUCACAUAGGUGUCUGCCACAGAGAAGGAUGCUCACUGGAACCGUUCAUCAAGCUUCUUAAUAAAAAGUCCGAAUUGAGAAGCAGAAAACUGUCGGCCGGUAAACAAAAGAAAAACCCGUCAAAUAUAAAUCUGAAGAAACUAUUUCUGGCUCAAAUACUUAAAGCACAAACUAAUUUGAACGGAUUCAAUUUUGAGAAUAAUGCAGUGAAUACGCAGGGGACCAGCAACUCUUUCCAAAUAUCAUUUAAUAAACCCAAAGGAUAACCGCUUUUCUUUAUAUAGACAAAGGAUUCGAAUUCUUUUAGUCAUUACCUUUGCUCUAAAAUGUGUCAAUAAAUCAUUUUUAACCCUGGGAACCAUGUUAUCAUUUGAGUCAAUAUUUACGAGAUUUUUUUAGUGGUUUAGGUUGUUGUGAGUACCUUUUUUACCUACAAAA